rnacentral:rRNA from 1 species
AACGAACGCUGGCGGCAUGCCUAACACAUGCAAGUCGAACGAGACCUUCGGGUCUAGUGGCGCACGGGUGCGUAACGCGUGGGAACCUGCCCUUAGGUUUGGAAUAACUCCCCGAAAGGGGUGCUAAUACCGGAUAAUGUCUUCGGACCAAUGAUUUAUCGCCUUUGGUUGGGCCCGCGUUGGAUUAGCUAGUUGGUAGGGUAAAAGCCUACCAAGGCGACGCUCCAUAGCUGGUCUGAGAGGAUGAUCAGCCACACUGGGACUGAGACACGGCCCAGACUCCUACGGGAGGCAGCAGUGGGGAAUAUUGGACAAUGGGCGAAAGCCUGAUCCAGCAAUGCCGCGUGAGUGAUGAAGGCCUUAGGGUUGUAAAGCUCUUUUACCCGGGAUGAUAAUGACAGUACCGGGAGAAUAAGCUCCGGCUAACUCCGUG